AUUGAACGCUGGUGGCAGGCCUAACACAUGCAAGUCGAGCGAGCGGCGGACGGGUGAGUAAUGUAUGGGAAUCUGCCUGAUGGCGGGGGAUAACUACUGGAAACGGUAGCUAAUACCGCAUACCAUCAGAUGAACCCAUAUGGGAUUAGCUAGUAGGUAAGGUAACGGCUUACCUAGGCGACGAUCCCUAGCUGGUCUGAGAGGAUGACCAGCCACACUGGGACGGAGACACGGCCCAGACUCCUACGGGAGGCAGCAGUGGGGAAUAUUGCACAAUGGGCGCAAGCCUGAUGCAGCCAUGCCGCGUGUAUGAAGAAGGCCUUCGGGUUGUAAAGUACUUUCAGCCGGGAGGCGUUACCGACAGAAGAAGCACCGGCUAACUCCGUGCCAGCAGCCGCGGUAAUUC
rnacentral:rRNA from 1 species